AUGUCGAUGUGUCGCAGAUCUGGUUUGUGGUUGGUUCGUCAAUGGAUGACCGACGGAGGAAGCUACAGCUCGUGGCGGCGUGAAGGUUUCAACGGAAUUGGACGGCGUUCACAGGGAGGUGAUGACACGGUAACGGGCGUGGUCCGAUGUGCCGUCGGGAGGAGGUGGUCGUUUGAUGACUUCGUUGGUGUAGGACGCGAGUUGCAGAUCUGCUCGCGGUGGAGGGAGAUCGAGGAGAGGUUUAUGUAA